UGUAGUUGUGUCAAUGUCUGCUUGAUUGUUGAUGUCCUGUCGAUUUUGAUUCGGUCUCCGAUGCUGGCUGGCACCAGAAGCAAACAGAGCAAUCCUGCUGUCACAAACCUGAUUAAAUCGUCUUUUGCUGUCUCUUUCCCGUCCGCAAGAUUGGCAGCGUCGCGGUGGUCAAAACACUCUUUAGGGUUCACAAUUGACCAACCAUUACAUAUCAAUUAUCAAAAAUAAAAAAAUUUAGGGACUUAAAAAUAAAUACAAAACUGUUGCAAACAUGACAAAUUUAUCUACUAUUAUAGGUCAUUUUAAGUUGUUUAUCAUAAAUCACCCACAAGAUAGUUCAGUCCAGCUAGAACCUUCAAAAGCUAUGCUUUGAAGGUGUUGGGAAUGCUUAUCAAAUCAUCUAUCAUCUAUCAUCUAUAUAUCAUGAUACAAACAAGGUCCUAAUAUUGGCUUUCAGGGCCACGUGUCAAGCUAUGGUUGAUUCAAUUUCCGCCCAAAAAUGUCACCUAAUGCUACAGUGUCAAACCCGUAAUUAAUACCAAUUCUCUCUCCAUCGUUUUCCAUUCCAUUCUCUCUCUCAUUCUCUCUUUUGUUAUUUCCUACCACCGUUCUCUCUACUCCACUCUCUCCACCCUUUCUCAUUCUCAUUCUCUCUUCCAUUUUUUUUUCCUACCAUCGUUCGAAGACGAUGCCUUGGUGCUGUUGUUCUCCAAAUGCCGGACGAAAAUGACGGAGAUGCCGAACGAAAAACUCAAAGGUUAUGCUUCGUUUUCCCUCUCUAUGUGCUUUUUUGUCGAUUUUUUUCACAGCAUGUUCAUUGUUUCUUUUAAAGCUAUCAUUUUUAUCUCCAAACUCCAUGAAUGUGCUUCGUUUUCCCUCUCCAUGUGCUUUUUUUUUUUCACUGCAUGUUCGUUAUUUCUUCUAAAGCUACCAUUUUUAUCGCAAAAAGCUUCGAUUUUUAUCUCCAAACUCCAUGAAUGUGCUUCGUUUUCCCUCUCCAUGUGCUUUUUUUUCCACUGCAUGUUCGUUAUUUCUUCUAAAGCUACCAUUUUUAUCGCAAAAAGCUUCGAUUUUUAUCUCCAAACUCCAUGAAUGUGUUUCGUUUUCCCUCUCCAUGUGCUUUUUUUUUUAUUAUUUUUUUCACUGUAUGUUCGUUGUUUCUUCUAAAGUUACCAUUUUUAUCCGAAAAAUGAUUUAUGGGUUCCUUUCUCUCCUAUCUUUCUACGUUUUCUUUUUUCAUUUGAUUUAUUUGACCGUGACUGACUAUUGUUCUUUCUUUGCAACACAAAAGCUUCAAUUUUUUUGUGUUUUCUGUUUUUGUUUUGUGUUAUAAUGAUUUUUCGCAGGACAAAAGGUUAAAUUUUUUGGUGUUCCUGAGCCUUCUCCGACGUACCCAAAGGCUGAAGCUUUUUUGUUGGGUUUGGCAGUUUUUUGCUUGAUUUGGCCGAAAAAUGAUUUAUGGGUUCUUUUCUCUCCUAUCUUUCUACGUUUUCUUUUUUCAUUUGAUUUAUUUGACCGUGGCUGACUAUUGUUCUUCCUUUGCAACACAAAAGCUUCAAUUUUUUGCGUCUUCUAUCUUUGUUUUGUGUUAUAAUGACUUUUCGCAGGACAAAAGGUUAAAUUUUUUUGUGUUCUUGAGCCUUCUUUGACAUAAAUUUGUCACCGAGAGCAAAUAGUGUUCGGCAUUUGAAGGACAGUCUUAUUGAGUCUUAUUUGACCGUGGUUAACCCACUCUUCUUCCUUUGCAAGACAAAAGUCAUAGAUCAUAGUAUGUUGGAUAGAUUACAGGGGAAAGCUUCAUUUUUUUCUUUACUCAGAUGAACAUAGUUUGAUUGCCGAUGUUCUACCUUAAUAGCACAAUAUUGAAAAAUAUGGAUCUUUGUGUUGCAAUCGCUACCUAUUUUUAUCUUUUUUUGUGUUGCAUGUUUGAGUUCCUUUCUUUAUCAUGUUCAUUUUUGUAUUACUUGAAAAAAAAUGACGUUUAUUACUAUGAUUAAUUUUGAGGUUCACGAGUGAUCUUCAGUCUUCUCUAAUGUUCCCGUUCUUAUUAUGGCAACGUAUUGUACAAAAUCCCUAUGUAGAUAUUCUUGGCAUUUGUACUUAUACCGGUUAAAAAUAAAAUAAAAGUUACUUUUAAUGUUUUUGCG